CACCACAAAAUAACCACGACGCGGCAUAAAAGGCCACAAAGAUAAUUAUUGAACGACUAUUAAAUGGGUAUGUAUUCGAAUCGCUCUGGUUUAGUUUAGUUAUAUGCAAAUGCAAAUACAACCUCAUCAGUUAGUAUAAAAUAUUACAUGCCAUUAAUUAAUUACAUUUUUGCAAAUUAACCCCCUGAUAGCUAGUUUAAAAUAGAUAAAAUCACUCAGAGACAGAAGUUGUUCAUAAACAAGAAAACAAUAGCUUGUGAUGCAGAAUUGUCCAUUAAAAUCCAUACGGUUAAUUAAUGUGCUUUUCUUAACAUAGUAAUUGAACUUAAAGCAUUUUUUCAAGAAAAAGUGAGCAAAAACUAUCCCGAACAGUUUUCGUAUGUACAUUUGACCCAUUUACUAUGUAAAAAAAAAUGUUUUGGUAAAGUUUACUAUGUAAAAAAAAAAUGUUUUGGUAAAGUUUAAUAAAAAGUGGAAAAAAAUGAUCAGAUAAAUCAAAAUUGCUUUACAUUAGAUUAUAUUACAUUCAAAGCAAAAUGCUAGCAGAAAUUUUUGUUUUUAACGCUUUGGAGGAGCAAGUGCUCUGGAUUUUACACCACAGAGUCACAAAAUAGAAUGCAGAAGACAUCUCAUACACUAUUAUGUUCCCCUGAAAACCCUAGGAGCCUCUUCGUAGAUAACUUGGUUUUGUGGCCCCCCAUAUUUAUCAUGCCCAUAAAUUUUGUAUGGCGCCUACCAAAACAAAAAAAAAAAAAACGCGGCGCAAAGUUGAGCGCUAAAAAAUUCGAUUUUGACAGACCGUUAUGCAGUGAAGAUCGCAGCAGAUAACGGAAAUAUUGUAAUUUUUCUGAAAAAUUUAUUGACGCGUGAUGUUUAAUGCUUGUACAAAUGGAUAAUUUAAGUGAGAAUUCGACCUAAAUUUGCCGCUUUAUUUAGGGGUGUCACGUCGGCGCGUUUGUAAAGAUUUUAGUUGAGUAUUAGUUGAUUUUGAAAAAUGUACGCGCUUAAAACGAAAAUCAGUAAAUUUACGAUUAUACAAAUAAUAAA